UUAAAGCCACAAUGAUUUAGCAUUUCACAUAUGGUAAUAUAAAAUGGUAAAAUAAUUUUGGACAGUAAUUUAGCAUUUCUUAAAAAUGAUGACAUGCACACAUGCUUUGACCAAGUACCUCUUCUCCCAGGCAUGUGUCCUGGAACCUCCUGUUUAGGAGCACUAGAUUAACAUGAAGAGAUUUGCGUCUGUUAUGAGUUAUUGCCACCCAGCUCUGAGACCGCCAUUCUUGACCCUGCUUUGUGAUAUGGAGAUGGGCCCUGUGAACAGUUCUCUAGCUGCUGUCUCAAAGUGAGGCUCUGUCUCUAGAUAGAGCUAGGUGGGGCACUGUAAAACAGUCGCAGGGGAGAGGUGCUCCCUUUUUUUGGUGCUUUUGUGCUGCUUGUAGCAUGGCAGCCAGCAAGUUGGUGUGCAAGAGGCUCAGUAGCAUUAAUCUCUGUGACUCUGAUGGGCCAGCUGCAUCCUGAGCCCCUGAAAACUUCUUGACUUCUUGGUGCACUGGACCAAUGGACCGGCUCUACCCACGUCUUCCAGCAAGUCCCUUCUCCCAGCAGGUACUGCUCCUGCGCAGUAAAGCCUUCUCCAAAGAGGCAGGGGUCUCAGCCUGGUUCUUCCUUGUUCCUCGUCCUCUGAGGUAGCAACUGCCUCAUCUUUUCCAUCUAUGGAGUGUGGAAUAUGUGCCCUACUUCAUUCAGGAAUGUUGGACAAACCGGCUAUUUAGAGAGUGAAGGAGAGGAACUUCCGAGAGCAACCGGCCCCCAAGAGAAACCCAGGGACUCCUGCCCUUCGGCAGCUUUGUCCAUGUGCUGCUCACACCAAAAAGCACUCGAGGGUGACCUGCACCAA